AAUAGAUACCCCGGUAGUCCACGCCGUAAACGAUGAGUGCUAAGUGUUAGGGGGUUUCCGCCCCUUAGUGCUGCAGCUAACGCAUUAAGCACUCCGCCUGGGGAGUACGGCCGCAAGGCUGAAACUCAAAGGAAUUGACGGGGGCCCGCACAAGCGGUGGAGCAUGUGGUUUAAUUCGAAGCAACGCGAAGAACCUUACCAGGUCUUGACAUCUCCUGACCGCCCUGGAGACAGGGUCUUCCCUUCGGGGACAGGAUGACAGGUGGUGCAUGGUUGUCGUCAGCUCGUGUCGUGAGAUGUUGGGUUAAGUCCCGCAACGAGCGCAACCCUUGUCCUUAGUUGCCAGCAUUCAGUUGGGCACUCUAAGGAGACUGCCGGCUAAAAGUCGGAGGAAGGUGGGGAUGACGUCAAAUCAUCAUGCCCCUUAUGACCUGGGCUACACACGUGCUACAAUGGGCGGUACAGAGGGUCGCGAACCCGCGAAGGGGGAGCCAAUCCCAAAAAACCCGCUCUCAGUUCGGAUUGCAGGCUGCAACUCG
rnacentral:rRNA from 1 species